AUACUCUGGUUUCUCUUCAGAUCGUAUAAAUCUUUCGCCUUUUACUAAAGAUUUCCGUGGAGAGGAACAUUUAUGAGUUUUGUGUUAAUUUUUUGAGGCCCUGCUUCGGCAGGGCU
rnacentral:snRNA from 1 species